AUGCAGUCGAACGGAAAGGCCCAGCUUGCUGGGUGCUCGAGUGGCGAACGGGUGAGUAACACGUGGGUGAUCUGCCUCUAACUUCGGGAUAAGCUUGGGAAACUGGGUCUAAUACCGGAUAGGACAAUCGUUUAGUGUCGGUUGUGGAAAGUUUUUUCGGUUAGGGAUGAGCCCGCGGCCUAUCAGCUUGUUGGUGGGGUAAUGGCCUACCAAGGCGUCGACGGGUAGCCGGCCUGAGAGGGUGGACGGCCACAUUGGGACUGAGAUACGGCCCAGACUCCUACGGGAGGCAGCAGUGGGGAAUNUUGCACAAUGGGCGCAAGCCUGAUGCAGCGACGCCGCGUGGGGGAUGACGGCCUUCGGGUUGUAAACCUCUUUCGACAGGGACGAAGCUUUGGUGACGGUACCUGUAUAAGAAGCACCGGCUAACUACGUGCCGGCAGCCGCGGUAAUACGUAGGGUGCGAGCGUUGUCCGGAAUUACUGGGCGUAAAGAGCUCGUAGGUGGUUUGUCGCGUCGUCUGUGAAAUUCCGGGGCUUAACUUCGGGCGUGCAGGCGAUACGGGCAUAACUUGAGUGCUGUAGGGGAGACUGGAAUUCCUGGUGUAGCGGUGGAAUGCGCAGAUAUCAGGAGGAACACCGAUGGCGAAGGCAGGUCUCUGGGCAGUAACUGACGCUGAGGAGCGAAAGCAUGGGGAGCGAAUAGGAUUAGAUACCCUGGUAGUCCAUGCCGUAAACGGUGGGCGCUAGGUGUAGGGGUCUUCCACGACUUCUGUGCCGUAGCUAACGCAUUAAGCGCCCCGCCUGGGGAGUACGGCCGCAAGGCUAAAACUCAAAGGGAUUGACGGGGGCCCGCACAAGCGGCGGAGCAUGUGGAUUAAUUCGAUGCAACGCGAAGAACCUUACCUGGGCUUGACAUAUACAGGACUG
rnacentral:rRNA from 1 species